CUACACAGCUUUUAAAAUUAACAAACCAUGUUUAACAAAACCAUAGCUCUCUAUUUUAUUGAAAGACGACAGAGAUAUUCAAAACCACAAGUGUGUGCAAAUAUCAAUAAAUUUUAUCACUUUUCAACUAUACUCAUGCUUGCAUCCAUAACAUUCUCUUAAGCAAAGACAUGACAUGAAAUGCUUUUCGGUGGAAAUAUUAAUAGCACUCAAAUAUCAAGACAUGGUAACACAAAUAAAUCAUCCUUGAACAAAGAAAAUUAAAUAAGGUAGAAUAGAUAGAACCUGAAUAAAAUAUAUAAGUAGGUACAACUUUCAGAAACUUAUUCACCAUUUUCCUAUAGAAAAAGUUCACCAAACUCCAGGUAUAUUGCCCACAACAUGUCACACCAAUCAUUGCAUUAAUAACAGUAUAAACAAAUCACAAAAUAGAAUUAGUAACAAAUAUACUUUAUAAUAAUAAUAAUUCUAUGCCAAUUCAAAACGAAUUACUCUUAAGAUUGUUGGAAAAAU
rnacentral:lncRNA from 1 species